CUCACUGUGAGGAGAGAGCCUCCUUGUUCAGUGGAAACUAGGUAACACUGACUAAGGAGCUCAACGA
rnacentral:ncRNA from 1 species